UACGAAGGGUGCAAGCGUUGUCCGGAUUUAUUGGGUUAAAAGGGUGCGUAGGCGGCCAAUUAAGUUAGUGGUGAAAACGUUCGGCUUAACCGGAUACCCGCCAUUGAUACUGAUAGACUUGAGUGCGACAGAGGGUGUUGGAAUGUGUGGUGUAGCGGUGAAAUGCUUAGAUAUCACGCAGAACACCAAUUGCGAAGGCAGAUGCCUAUGUCGUAACUGACGCUGAGGCACGAAAGCGUGGGGAGCAAACAGG
rnacentral:rRNA from 1 species